UGGGGAAUAUUGCACAAUGGGCGCAAGCCUGAUGCAGCCAUGCCGCGUGUAUGAAGAAGUCCUUCGGGUUGUAAAGUACUUUCAGUCGGGAGGAAGGUGGUAAGGUUAAUAACCUUAUCAAUUGACGUUACCGACAGAAGAAGCACCGGCUAACUCCGUGCCAGCAGCCGCGGUAAUACGGAGGGUGCAAGCGUUAAUCGGAAUUACUGGGCGUAAAGCGCACGCAGGCGGUUGAUUGAGUCAGAUGUGAAAUCCCCGGGCUUAACCCGGGAAUUGCAUCUGAUACUGGUCAGCUAGAGUCGUGUAGAGGGGGGUAGAAUUCCAUGUGUAGCGGUGAAAUGCGUAGAGAUGUGGAGGAAUACCGGUGGCGAAGGAGGACCCAUGGACAAAGACUGACGCUCAGGUGCGAAAGCGUGGGGAGCAAACAGG
rnacentral:rRNA from 1 species